CAGUAGCCGCGGUAAUACGGAGGGCGCGAGCGUUACCCGGAUUUACUGGGCGUAAAGGGCGUGUAGGCGGCCUGGGGCGUCCCAUGUGAAAGGCCACGGCUCAACCGUGGAGGAGCGUGGGAUACGCUCAGGCUAGAGGGUGGGAGAGGGUGGUGGAAUUCCCGGAGUAGCGGUGAAAUGCGCAGAUACCGGGAGGAACGCCGAUGGCGAAGGCAGCCACCUGGUCCACUUCUGACGCUGGGGCGCGAAAGCGUGGGGAGCAAACCGGAUUAGAUACCCGGGUAGUCCCUGUCUCUUAUAC
rnacentral:rRNA from 1 species